rnacentral:rRNA from 1 species
AUUGAACGCUGGCGGCAGGCCUAACACAUGCAAGUCGAGCGGGGUUUUCGGACCUAGCGGCGGACGGGUGAGUAAUGCGUAGGAAGCUACCCGAUAGAGGGGGAUACCAGUUGGAAACGACUGUUAAUACCGCAUAAUGUCUACGGACCAAAGUGUGGGACCUUCGGGCCACAUGCUAUCGGAUGCGCCUACGUGGGAUUAGCUAGUGGGUGAGGUAAUGGCUCACCAAGGCGACGAUCCCUAGCUGGUUUGAGAGGAUAAUCAGCCACACUGGAACUGAGACACGGUCCAGACUCCUACGGGAGGCAGCAGUGGGGAAUAUUGGACAAUGGGCGCAAGCCUGAUCCAGCCAUGCCGCGUGUGUGAAGAAGGCCUUCGGGUUGUAAAGCACUUUCAGUAGGGAGGAAGCGUUGUGUGUUAAUAGUACACAGCGUUGACGUUACCUACAGAAGAAGCACCGGCUAACUCUGUGCCAGCCGCCGCAGUAAGAC